UCCAUCCUGCACAUGAACACUUCCAGGAAUCUGACAGCCACAGUUUAUCUGGGCAACCUAUGCCAGGGCCUCACAGGGAAGAAUUCCUUCCCAAUAUCCCAUGUGACCCUGCCUUCUGUCAGUGUGAAGCCAUUCCCCCUUGUCCUGUCACUCCAGCCCUUGUAAAUAGUGUCCAUCUUUCUUGCAGGCUCCCUUCAGGCACUGCAAGGCCGCCCUUGGGUCACCCUGCAGCUUUUCUUUUCCAGGCUGAAAACAUCCUCAUUCCCCUAGCUUUUCCUCACAGCAGAGGUGCUCCCUCCCUCUGCUAACAGGUCUAUGUUCUCUCAGAGCUGAGGACCCCAGGGCUGGAUGCAGCAUUCCAGGUGGUCUGGGAAGACAGUCCUGCUGUCACUGCUGCAUCCAAGAUGGAUAAGGGGGAGAGAGCUGGCACCAGCUUCUCCUAAGUGCACACGAGGGGAAGGUAAGUCAUGCUGAACCCAGAAAAAAUUUUUUAGGAUGAAGCGAAAUGAGUAGGAAAAGGCAAGCUGGAAUCCCAAACCCCAAUGGUGGAGGAAGCCAGGGAGGGAGUCACCCUCCUGUUGCUGGCUGAUGCCUUUGUAAACUGUGCCUUGUAAGAGCCUUGCAGGUGACAGACUCCAGCCCUGAGAGCAGCACAGCCUCUUGACAGCAGCACUCUCAACCCUUCUGGGCUUUCCAGGUAAAUCCCGUUUUAUGCACAUUUCCAAAGGAAUGCUGACCUCGGUGCCCAAGUGCUUCACAUUCCAGUCUUUCACGGCCUGCUUGCCAGGUUUCUCUUCAAAACCUUCUUUAAAUAAGCAGGCAAAUGUUAUAGGAGAAAAAAAAAAUUAGAAUAACCAUAGGAAUUUAUCUUGAGCACUUAUCUCUAUUUGUGCUUUCUGUUUAACUGAGUAAGCAGAUCCCUAAAUCUCAGGGACCGAGGGAAUGUUAGGGGCAUUCUUCUCCUCUGAGCCAAGCAGGCUGCAAGGAAACAUCUCUUGAAGGGAUGCACAUCUUCCACCCAUGUUUCCUUGGAUUUGCUUGCUUCCAAAGGAAAAAAACACCCACUGCUGCAUGUCUGGCAGCUUGUCAGGUUCUGUUUGUGAGAGUUUCCUUUAGAGGGCACCGUGUUGUUGGGCAACUGCUGGCACUGAGGUUUCCAUGGAAUCUCAGAGCUUCCCUAGUUACAUGUCCAAUCAGAGCCUCUGCACCUAUGGGAGACUAUAAAGGUCAUCCUAGGACAAGAGAAUUUGCAUUUAUUCACUCGACAGAACUGCUGUGGCAUGAAGUUGCCUUAGGAGAGGGAAUCUGCCUCUGUAAAAACAGCAAAUCUCAGGAGGUGCCUUCAUAUUGCUGAGGACCAAGAAUUUAUCUGCCUUGGAAUCCUGGCAGGAUGCCUUUUUCUUAAAGAAUGUUAAACAGCUGGAAUGCCCUGUGUUUACCGAGCUGUGCUGAAAAGCAGAGAACUUCAGCCCAGGACCCAAGCACUUGGCCGGCCCGAGGGCCCUUCAGAGGAAUUCUUGAGGCUCUGCAGCACGCUGGAUAAAGGGAGAUUACAGAGUGCCUCCCCCUUAUGUAAGGCUGCAGCUCCCUGCCAGCCCCUGGGGCCGAGGAGAGCCCUUCAUGUGACCCUCAGCCAUCCCCAGCAGCCCGGUAUUAAUGUGAGACAUAAAGCCUGCACGUUACAUAAGCGUCUCUCCUGGCCAAGUGUUUCCUACUGCAGAAACCGAGGUUUAAUUUUAACUUGCCGCUUAAAAAAAUGAAACGUUCUGUGGGUAGGAGGAAGUGUAGGGGUGGGAACGGAGGUUAAGCGUGUGCCAGCAGGAAUGUGCCAGAAAGAUCAGUGAUGUGUUUCUGUUAGAUUUACGUGGCCAACUUAAGUCUGACAGCAUCUGUGACAAAGUGCUCCAAGACCCAUUCAGCGCUUUGGCUAAUGCAGCCGACAGGAGAAUUGCAAACGUCAUGAAAUGCUUUUUAAUUACACCAUUGCUGCCCAGUAAAACGCUGGCUUUUAAAGGUGUCCUAUAAACAAUAGCGUAAUUUUAAUUUACUUAGAAAUGCACUGACCUGGCAUUUUGACUUAGUCUGAAGGACAGAGAGUGGAAAAUGCAGUUUCAGCAUUUAAAAACCUGAGGGAAGCAGCUGACUGUCAGUGUGGCCACCUAAGGCGUUAGAGCUGAAACCCCUGACUUGCCGGGUGGAAAGUUAGUGUUGUGUGGGAUUGCAGCCUGUUUCGAUGUGCUGAAUUUUCCUGAUAAAUCUGAAAGUCAUCAGGCUUUCCUCUGGCCUACCUGCAGCAGUGUGAGGUUUUUGGGAUGGCCAAUUCCCCUUGCGGCAGGGGAGAAUCCCUGGAGGUCAUGCUGCCUGUCCUGCGCCCCCUCCAAAAUCUGGCUUCUUACUGACCUAAACAGAGCCAGAUUUUUGUGUGAAAAUUAUACCCUGGGAUUGCAAUUUCUGCCAUGAAGAGCACACGGAUGUGACUAUAUCUGUCUGCCAAGGGUUUCUUAAAAAAACCGCAUUUUUUUUUACCUCAGAAGUUUAGUUUUUUUACCUCAGCCGCCCAUAGCGUCACCUGAGGGGGGCCCCUCCUUUGCCCACCGCUUGCCCUCACCCAGUCUAGUUAGAAAUUACUAACAAAUAUUCAGAAAUAUUAGAAUCCCUUUUGUCACGUUUUCCUAAAGAAC